ACGUAGGGUGCAAGCGUUAAUCGGAAUUACUGGGCGUAAAGCGUGCGCAGGCGGUUUUGUAAGUCUGUCGUGAAAUCCCCGGGCUCAACCUGGGAAUUGCGAUGGAGACUGCAAGGCUAGAAUCUGGCAGAGGGGGGUAGAAUUCCACGUGUAGCAGUGAAAUGCGUAGAGAUGUGGAGGAACACCGAUGGCGAAGGCAGCCCCCUGGGUCAAGAUUGACGCUCAUGCACGAAAGCGUGGGGAGCAAACAGGA
rnacentral:rRNA from 1 species